AUUGAACGCUGGCGGCAUGCCUUACACAUGCAAGUCGAACGGUAACAGGUCUUCGGAUGCUGACGAGUGGUGAACGGGUGAGUAAUACAUCGGAACGUGCCCGAUCGUGGGGGAUAACGAAGCGAAAGCUUUGCUAAUACCGCAUAAGAUCUACGGAUGAAAGCAGGGGACCGGAAGGCCUUGCGCGAACGGAGCGGCCGAUGGCAGCUUAGGUAGUUGGUGGGAUAAAAGCUUACCAAGCCGACGAUCUGUAGCUGGUGUGAGAGGACGACCAGACACACUGGGACUGAGGGACGGCCCAGACUCCUACGGGAGGAAGCAGUGCGGAAUUUUGGACAAUGGGCGAAGGCCUGAUCCAGGCAUUCCGCGUGGAUGAGGAAGGCCUUCGGGUUGUAAACUGCUUUUGUUCGGAACGAAAAGACGCUUUCUAAUCAAGAGGGUCCAUGACGGUAGCGUAAGAAUAAGCACCGGCCAACUACGUGCCAGCCGCCGCGGUAACAC
rnacentral:rRNA from 1 species